UACGUAGGCAGCAAGCGUUGUUCGGAAUCACUGGGCGUAAAGCGCGCGCAGGCGGCGAUCUACGUCUGGGGUGAAAGCCCGGAGCUCAACUCCGGGACUGCCUUGGAUACGGGAUCGCUUGAGGAUUGGAGAGGCAAGGGGAAUUCCACGUGUAGCGGUGAAAUGCGUAGAUAUGUGGAGGAACACCUGUGGCGAAGGCGCCUUGCUGGCCAAUUUCUGACGCUGAGGCGCGAAAGCGUGGGGAGCAAACAGG
rnacentral:rRNA from 1 species